rnacentral:rRNA from 1 species
UACGGAGGGUGCAAGCAUUGAUCGGAAUUACUGGGCGUAAAGGGCGCGUAGGCGGUCUUGUAAGUCAGACGUGAAAUUCCAGGGCUCAACCCUGGAGCUGCGUUUGAAACUGCAAGACUAGAGUUCAGUUAGGGUAAACGGAAUUCCACGUGUAGCGGUGAAAUGCGUAGAUAUGUGGAAGAACACCGGUGGUGAAGACGGUUUACUGGGCUGAUACUGACGCUGAGGCGCGAAAGCAUGGGGAGCAAACAGG